rnacentral:rRNA from 1 species
AGAUUGAACGCUGGCGGCAUGCCUUACACAUGCAAGUCGAACGGCAGCACGGGGGCAACCCUGGUGGCGAGUGGCGAACGGGUGAGUAAUGCAUCGGAACGUGCCCAGUAGUGGGGGGAUAACUAGUCGAAAGAUUAGCUAAUACCGCAUACGACCUACGGGUGAAAGCGGGGGAUUCGCAAGAACCUCGCGCUAUCGGAGCGGCCGAUGUCUGAUUAGCUAGUUGGCGGGUAAAAGCCCACCAAGGCUUCGAUCAGUAGCUGGUCUGAGAGGACGACCAGCCACACUGGGACUGAGACACGGCCCAGACUCCUACGGGAGCAGCAGUGGGGAAUUUUGGACAAUGGGCGCAAGCCUGAUCCAGCCAUGCCGCGUGCGGGAAGAGGCCUUCGGUGUAACCGCUUUGGCAGGAACGAACGGCGCGAGACAAUAUCGUCGCGUUAAUGACGUACCUGCAGAAUAGACACCGCUAACUACGUGCCAGCACGA